CAGAGUAAAAUGAUUAAAAAAAAAAUCAAAAGCUAUCUAAUAUUCAUGAUUCACUUGGAGAGUUUCCAAAUUAGGUAUAUAAGACGUCUCCACAUGUAAGCCUUGUCCACAUCACAUCUUUUGUCCCAGUCACAUACUUUUGCCUGCAGACAAUAGCUUUCCUUGUCCAUUUCUUGGAGUAUGCAAUUUAUUGCUAUGAUUUUUUAUUUUUAUUUUUUAGGUUUUAAAUUUUCAGCUCUUUCAGAAAUAGUUUUCAUCCUUUCUAGUGCUAUUAGUAGCAUAUACGCCACUGCAUUUAUUAUUUCUCCUUCAACUUUCCAAGUCUCAUUCAUGCUGCAAUCACACCAGGACAACAGCUCCAACGUACAGCUAACUAAUGUCAAACAAAUUUUCUGAUUGCUGGGUAUUGUUUCUCCUGGAACAUGUUGGAUUCCCCUGAGAAAUUCAUAGAAGUCACCGGACUGAUCACUGCCUGACUGUACGAGAGCCUUGCCUGGACGUCGUGGCCGCUGCUCAGCGCCGUGGCCGUGCUGGACACAGCUCCAAGCACUGGAGCGAGCAGGCGAUCGAUGGCUGCUCCUCACUGCGGUGCUCCGGUGGCGCGAAGGGCAAGGAAUUGGCUCGAAAACACCUGGUCCCCGGCCCAAAGGGCAGCACCCCGUCUCUGAACGUGUUGACUAUCCGUUUGGCAAAGCCUUGUCCAUAAUCUCUCGGCAGACUCUUGAAGCUAAUCUCUCUAUUGAUUUUUGCUUAGAAACACCUACAGCUAUUCAAUCACUAAUAAAAUCCGAAGAGUUCAGUUUUUAAGACCUUUAACUCCUUUGGAGGCAAGGCUUAUUUAUCGUCUGAUGGGCAAUCGAAUGCCUCUGCUCGUUUCUAAGUAAGGGGAUCAUACAGACGACUGACAACUGAGACAAAAUCCACCCUACUGCACCAGCCCAGAGACUCUACUCAGUUUGGGCCUUUAGCCUUCAUACAUCCUCCUUUUCCUCUUUGUAGUUUUCCAUCUCUUGUGGUUCGCUUUCCCAGUUUGACUGGGAGAAGUUCUCCAGAUACCCUUCUGAACCCGUGUUUCCCUAGCAGUAGACACUGCGUCAAUACUGCAUCAUCAGUGCUGCGUGGAGAAGAUGGUGCGGAAGGAGAGGCAGACUUUCUGGUUGCCUUUCGAUUUGCUUUUCUUGGCUUCCCUUCUGUUACUUCU